rnacentral:lncRNA from 1 species
UUCCGUGUCCCUUGCAGAAGCUGCAGGGAACUGGAGGGUAGUGUGGAGACACCUGCAGAGUUGCUGGACAGUCUCACUUCUACAGUCCUCUGUCCGCCUAGCCUCAAGGCCGAGGCUGCCUGCGUGGCCUCGUGUCUGGUUGCCUGCUCCUGGCGCCUGUGCUGCCAAGCAUCGACCCGGAACCGGAGCGUUUUUUGGUUUGGAGCUGUUCCCAGGAGGCCCCUAGAUGACGCGGCUUCUGUCCCAAGUACCGAGAGAAGAUUCCAGGCUAUGUGUUAGGAACUUCGUGCCUAUUAACGUCUGGAACGCGUCAGUUCCUGGAAUUAUUUAAGAGCUUUGCUGUGUCUGAGCAAGGUGCUCAUGAAGUAUCAAGGGCCACAUUCUACCAUGUGAACCUGAAGAAGGGUGUAAGUAAUGUAACCCUGAAAAAACAACCAACUGGCCACUGCUCAUUAAACUGCCAUUUGCUCCAAGAGAGACCAAGAUGGAAAGGGUCUCACCAGGAAGACUCUAAUACAGCAAGGAGGAAGGGCUGAGGAGAUGCUGGUCAGGCUUGUGGCCCAGGUGACUUGGGAGUGCGUGGUGUGGAGAUGGAUACUCAAAGCAGUCCUCUGUAGUAGGGUCCCCAGGCUGUUGUCAACCAUUCCUGAGGAGUGACUGUGGCCAAAGUUUUGAUACUUAACAAGUGACAGUGUGGUGUGUGUGUGAGAGAGUGUGAGUGUGUGAGGAUAAUGUAUAUGUAAGAAAGUGUGUGUAUAU